AGAAGACAGAACAGUGACCAUCUGUCAUCUCCCCUCUAAGAAAGAACACUGCAAAAGGCGGAGGAGCUCAGCUGGGCGCCAACUCGGUGGUGGAGCAGGUGCUGGCCGGGCAAGAGGCGCUGGGAGUGAAAAAGAAAGCCUGAGAUGCGAGGGAGGCGUCUGGUUCACACAGACCAAAGGACAACGCAGGCACUGCGCAGCCCUGCCGCUCUCCCGCCUUCCUUCAUCUCUCCGCUUUCCAGCUUCACUUCCUAAACGAGCUCACUUUAGGCUGCCGGAGAGGAAGAGGCUCUUCCGGCCCUGAAUCAGACAAUCCCUUUUAGGAAAAGGCUCUGAUUGGUCCGAGGGGUCACGUGGGCCGACGGGCGGCUUUCCAGUCACGUGGUCAGGCUGGCCGGAACGGAAGUCCUCCAAGUGCGGGGCUCGCUCUCUGGAGCGGGCAGUGGGUAGAUCUGGGUAGACUAAGUGGCCAGGAUGCCACCAGGGGAAGAUCACUCUUAAUAUUCGUCCUUAGCACCAGCAGCAGAAGUCACGCUGGAUGGUUUACAUAGAAAAGGAGAUUAUGAAAGGAUAAAAGGGCCUUUCUGCUUCUAGCAUGGUGUCGCCAGGAACGAGGACAGCGAAAUCCUGACGAGCACGGGACUGUGCCUGUCGCUGAGGCAGCCAGAGAGGGGACCGGCGCACAGGCGGCCAGGGCCAGAGCAGCAGGUUGUGCGACCCACCGCCCUUCGCCACAGGGAAGCAGCCCUGAGCUAGUCGGGAGUCCUGGCAAAGACCGAGAAGCUGUCUCAGGAGGCCAGUGUCUCCGCUCUCACUUCCGAGUGCAGGAUCCCUUGGCGCCUCCUAGUACUACCGUGCCCUGUUAUCUAGGUCACAGGACGCUACAGUGACCCGACCGGGUCAAUGACAAGGCCCAGGACCUCUGGAAGUGAAGAAAGAUAUGGGUCAUCGCUGCAGGGGACGAACGAACGAGACCUGCCAACGUGCUUGCGGAAGGCCGGGAAAUACAGAAUCAGAGUAAAAGGUAGUCGUAAACACCUCAGGAGCAGUUACAGAAGUGAGGAUUGUGAGCUGGGCGUGGUGGCCCAGGCCUGUAAUCUCUGGACUCAGGAGGCUGAGGCAGGAGGAUCGCCAUGAGUUCGAGCCCAACCUGGGCUACAUCGUGAGCUCAAGAAUGGGAAACUUGACGUCAUCUUCAAAAUCCUUUACUGUCCUCGACCCUGGGAAUUUUUUGAUCCGCAAACCGAAAAGAAGAGCUGCUCCAUCUUCUCUGCCCCAUGCAUGGCCUGACCACCCCUGGAAGAAAAGGAAUGGAGUCAGUGAAGUCAGUGAGGUACUGACCAGCUCUAGCGCUGCUGCAGGUGAAAGGGCAGAUGGCCUGAGGUCCUCUAUUUUCAAGACUUUCCUUGCCCUGAGAGACAAUCCUGAUUUGUGUUUAAAAUGUUUGUGUGAGGAAAAGGAAGCCAGGUACCUUUGGCCCACAAAUCUGACGUGCCCACCAUUCCAGAGGCUGAGGCGCCGCCUGCCUGCCCCGCGUGCUGAGGCUAAAGCCCCCCAGCCACCCCGUUAAGGCUUCUACAGGCGCUGUCCUUUCUCCCCAACCUAACUGAAACCCAGGAGAGCUACAUCCUCUGCAGGAAGUUGGGAGUCUGCCCCCACACCUGUGCCUGUGGUAUUUGCCCUUCUUGAGCUCAAACAAAUUGAACAGGGAUCUGGGUAAAUUUUCAUACGAUUCUGGUAAA